UGGUGGUUAUAGCGAAAAUGAAACACCUAAUUACAUCUCGAACUUAGAAGUGAAACUUUUCAGCGCCUAUGGUACUCUGUAUAAGGGGAGAGCAGGUCGCUGCCA
rnacentral:rRNA from 1 species